CAGUAGCCGCGGUAAUACAGAGGGUGCGAGCGUUAAUCGGAUUUACUGGGCGUAAAGCGUGCGUAGGCGGCUUCUUAAGUCGGAUGUGAAAUCCCUGAGCUUAACUUAGGAAUUGCAUUCGAUACUGGGAAGCUAGAGUAUGGGAGAGGAUGGUAGAAUUCCAGGUGUAGCGGUGAAAUGCGUAGAGAUCUGGAGGAAUACCGAUGGCGAAGGCAGCCAUCUGGCCUAAUACUGACUCUGAGGUACGAAAGCAUGGGGAGCAAACAGGAUUAGAUACCCGAGUAGUCCCUGUCUCUUAUAC
rnacentral:rRNA from 1 species